rnacentral:rRNA from 1 species
AGGGAAUAUUGGACAAUGGGCGCAAGCCUGAUCCAGCCAUGCCGCGUGAGUGAAGAAGGCCCUCGGGUUGUAAAGCUCUUUUGUCCGGAAAGAAAAGCGCCGGGUUAAUACCCUGGUGUCCUGACGGUACCGGAAGAAUAAGCACCGGCUAACUUCGUGCCAGCAGCCGCGGUAAUACGAAGGGUGCAAGCGUUACUCGGAAUUACUGGGCGUAAAGCGUGCGUAGGUGGUUCGUUAAGUCCGAUGUGAAAGCCCUGGGCUCAACCUGGGAAUGGCAUUGGAUACUGGCGGGCUAGAGUGCGGUAGAGGGUAGUGGAAUUCCCGGUGUAGCAGUGAAAUGCGUAGAGAUCGGGAGGAACAUCCGUGGCGAAGGCGACUACCUGGACCAGCACUGACACUGAGGCACGAAAGCGUGGGGAGCAAAC